rnacentral:misc_RNA from 1 species
AUAUAUAUAUAUCACGAAACUAUAUAUUUGAACUACCAAAAGUCAACUUAUCUUGCCGUCACCUGAGGUUCUGAUAAUCCAUCUUCCGAGAUGUCAAAAAACAAAUCAUCGUUCUUACACAAAGCAUAAACAAUGUCCACCAUGCUAGGCCUCUUUGAAGGAUCUCUAUGGAGACAAGCAGCUGCAACACUCAUUACAUUCAUUACACUCUCCAUUGAGCAUGAUUCUUCUGAAAGAACAUCAUCCAUCCACUCCUUCGACCUUUUCUCCUUCUUCUCCACACUUCCAUCCCAAACCGUAUUAGCUUUUACCCACAAAAGCUUACCCUCUUCAUCAAUAGCUUCCUUGCCGGAUAUGAGCUCAAGCAGAACCACACCGAAGGAGAAAACAUCCAUCUUUGUUGAAACCACACCAUCGGUUAGAUAUUCAGGUGCAAUGUAGCCUUGAGUACCAACAAUGUGCAUUGUUAUGGCAUUGCAGCCUGAUUUUGCUAGUCCAAAGUUGGCAAUUUUGGCUCUCAUGUUUGUAUCUAAAAGAAUGUUGCUACUUUUGAUGUCUUUGUGCACAACCCUUGGCCUAGUGUGCUCAUGGAUGUAUUGGAGACCAUUGGCAACGUCAACAGCAAUGCGUAAUCUUGUCUUCCAGUUCAACUUUUCAUUCCUGUUGCCGUGUAACCAUGAAUGAAGAGAGCCAUUUUCUAUGUACUCGUAGAUUAGGUAGCAACCUGCAUCAUCAGUGUCUAUACAAAAGCCCUCUAGCUUCACCAAAUUGCCAUGGUUUACCUUCUGUAAGAUCUUAAGCUCCUCGUAAGCAUUCCAAUUCAUCUUCUUAAUGGCGUAGUCCUCCCCGUUAAUGGACCCUUUAUACACAGACCCUUGAAUCAAGAAAUUUUCAUUGAACCCAUCAGUGGCUUCUCUCAAUUCAUCAAUUUUAAAGACCCUGUACUUGUCCAAGCAAUCUGAAACAUCUGCCAGCAAACUUGUUUCCAUGUCCUUCAAACCUUUCUCUUUUCCAUAGUAGUUCAUCCUCCGCUUCUCUUCAUCCCCUUCUCUCUCUCUCUUCAACUUACCCUCUCUAUAAACCCAAAUCCCACUUAUCAAAAUCAACAAAACCCCGGUAACUCCAAGCCCGACUGCCAAUCCUGUGAUUAAACCUUUCCUCUCUCUCCUCCCAGAUGCCACAGAAGGAGCAACUGUAGGCUGUGACAAUAUUGGAAGUCGAUUGACUGGAAUGAAGAUGGUAUUAAAAGGCUGCGGACUGUUGCCAUUAACAUCUACAAUCGACUGUGUGUCUACUCCAAACCUUGAAGCAACCAGUGAUAAGUUAUCAGAAGGUUGAAACACAUAAGAUAUCAGAUAAUUCACCUGGUUUUGCAAUUGGGUUUGAUUAGGACACUUGCAAAAUAUUGGAAAGAUCACGUUUUGGCCUAUAUCGAGUAGGGUGGGGAUGAGCGUGGGAUUCACAACCUCAACAGCCUGGUAAGUAGUGAGGUUUAGGAAGCUAUAAGUAGAAAGCAGGUAGAAAGUGUCACCUGCCUUAAUAGUGUAUGAAAUGUUUGCAUAAGAGUAAUUGACACCAGUGGUAACAUUGACAGUAUUGCAAGAACAUGACAAGGGGACAAAGAGAGAUUGGCCAGGGAUGAGAGGUGAAGAUGGAGAGGAGAUGUUGCUUGGUUUUGAUAUCAUUAGACGGCUAACAGAGAAAAGGUCACCAAUGGAACCCAGAUCCAGGUAGUUGGGCGCCGUGGCCUGGUAGAAGGCGUAGGUUUGGCAUGGGUUGCUAGUCUGGUUCACCGUGCAGGUGAAUCCUUGGGUGCUUGGCUCUGGCUGAGCUUGCAAAAGGUUAAGAACAUAAUUAAAACAAAGAAAGAAGAGGAAAGAAGAGACUAACUGGUUUGGGGUUCUCAUUUCUGGUUGUGUUUUUCCUCACACUGUUUUUUGUUGAUUUAUUUUCCAAG